CAACAGUGAGCGGCGGUGGUCUGGGCGGACUGCCAGACGCGGAUCGGCUGGGUACGACUUUGUUUCCAGGAUCCGGGUGUCAUAAAACAUUCGCAAUGCGCCUCCAAUCAAAGGCAGACGGAGAGGCAUCGAUCCACAGCGAGGAGACACAAAGAGCUCGCCAGGGCCAAUCAAUGAGUGGCCACUCCCUCCACCAGUACUGUAUGUACCUUCCCUGCCUGUGUGGGUGAGUUGGAUGGACGCGCCCCCUCAGCCGCUGGCCCCCCUAGUGACACUAUAAUGUCGACAAAGUCCUAAUGGAGACGAAGUGUUCUCCGUUACCAGCCAGUAAUAAGGGUUCCUCUUGUGCUCGCUGUGUUCUGUCGGUGCCAUGGGAAACUGUCAUGGCCACUCUGAAUUAAGGCGAGCGUACCGUGAGGGGCAGAUCCGCCUCGCUCGUUAGGUAAGUACAGACAGCAGGCGAUGGAUGAUGCGGGUUAUGGUUCAAGGACUUUACUAGGGAACUGCUUAUGAUUUGUUCACGAAGCCGCUUUG